UCCUGCCACCCUAUGAUUCCUGUCCCAGUGGUCUGGGUGGGGCCUGAGAUCCUGAAUUUCUAAUGAGCUCCCAGGUGACACCCUGACUCACUGUGCCAGAGGACUGCAGUUUGAGUAGCA
rnacentral:pre_miRNA from 7 species